CAAAGGACAGUUUGAAUGUUUCUGAGAAGUAAUUAAAAAAGAAUAGGAACUUGUGUUUAUGAAAGAUUUUUGUGUAUAUUAGGGAGGGAGAAGUAGCAUUGACACUUUGAUGACUUAUUCUCUGUCAGUAAAUCUGUUAUGAUCUUUAUAGAUGCA